rnacentral:rRNA from 1 species
CUCCUUUGACGUUAGCGGCGGACGGGUGAGUAACACGUGGGUAACCUACCUAUAAGACUGGGAUAACUUCGGGAAACCUGAGCUAAUACCGGAUAAUAUUUCGAACCGCAUGGUUCGAUAGUUAAAGGUGGUUUUUGCUAUCACUUAUAGAUGGACCCGCGCCGUAUUAGCUAGUUGGUAAGGUAACGGCUUACCAAGGCGACGAUACGUAGCCGACCUGAGAGGGUGAUCGGCCACACUGGAACUGAGACACGGGUCCAGACUCCUACGGGAGGCAGCAGUC